rnacentral:rRNA from 1 species
AACGAACGCUGGCGGCAUGCCUAACACAUGCAAGUCGAACGAGACCUUCGGGUCUAGUGGCGCACGGGUGCGUAACGCGUGGGAACCUGCCUUUAGGUCCGGAAUAACUCAGAGAAAUUUGAGCUAAUACCGGAUGAUGUCUUCGGACCAAAGAUUUAUCGCCUUUAGAUGGGCCCGCAUUGGAUUAGCUAGUUGGUGGGGUAAAGGCCUACCAAGGCGACGAUCCAUAGCUGGUCUGAGAGGAUGAUCAGCCACACUGGGACUGAGACACGGCCCAGACUCCUACGGGAGGCAGCAGUGGGGAAUAUUGGACAAUGGGCGAAAGCCUGAUCCAGCAAUGCCGCGUGAGUGAUGAAGGCCUUAGGGUUGUAAAGCUCUUUUACCCGAGAUGAUAAUGACAGUAUCGGGAGAAUAAGCUCCGGCUAACUCCGUG